AGGACUAAAUAGAAAACUUGUCCAGUUUUGACCAAUUAUUUGCUUUUUGUUUUAAGAGGGUGGCUUUGGAGUAACAACAAAGUUACUCUAUUUGUGACUUGAAAGUCACGGUUUCGAACCACAAAAACAGCCUCUCUGAAAAACAGGGGUGAUGCUACGUAUAUCAACCCUCCACAUAACCCACAAGUGUGAUCGCCGUGCACUAGGUCACUUUUUUUUUUCCUUAAUCUUGUCAGCAAAAAUUUUGAUCAGCCAUGAUCCUCCUCGCAAUAAAAUCUGACCAAUCCUGGUCAUGUUCUUAAUAGUCCAAACCAUAUGCAUCAUAAAGAAACAAACUUACAGGUUUACUUGCCCAUCCAUGUCCAUCUGCCAAAAGCAACAUGUAGCUUGAAAGAAGUCACAAUCCAACCAGUAAUGGUUGGUAAUAUCGCCAUAUUUAAUAUAUUAGACUUUACAUACAUUGCAGAAAAUGAGGGAAAAUAACCAAAACAAUGCCCAUUAGUACUCAUUUAUGGCACAGACAUGAACAAGCAGAAAAUGAUAACAAUCAACUCACCAAGAAUUCCAGUAUAGUAGGAAAGAGGUACAUCAGAGUUUGAGAUUUUAAAGAGGGGAUCAGGUCUUGUAAUGAGACUGUAUUCUUCCCAUCCUGUUCUUCCCCAAACUAAGUCACCUCCCUUAAAGUCCGGGUGCCUGGAGUCCACAACUUUAGCCACUCCAAUUCCAUUUAUUGGCUGCAUAUUUUCAUCAAGGACAGAUGAGAUUAAGGGGGAAAGUUAAACACACAGAAUACACAUGAGAAGCAUAGCUUAUCUGACUUGGCAGUUCAGUAAUGCUUAAAAAUUCCCAUGAUUGAACAAAUCCACUUAAUGACUACAUUUUCUUACCAAGAAAAAUUAGAACUUGCAGUAUUCUUUCAAUAUUCUGGAAUUUAUCCACAAGCCAAUGCACUGGCAGUCCUGCCUGAUAGGACAGGAGUUCAGAUUCAAAGCUGACACUCCCUUCCUUUAAAAAAUUUCAGAUGAACUCACAAAAGAAAAAAUAAAAUUGAUGGCAACAAACAUAACUAUCCAAUCAAUUAUCAUUUAAUUAGUAUUAUUCUACCCUUCGAAGCCUUAAUUAGAAAAUAAGGGAGAAAAUAAAAGUGGGAUUCGUCCCUAAAUAUACAGAAUAGAAGAAAGAAAUUAUUGUUUCUGAAAUGAUGAGCUUACAGAGCCAGGAGUGUAGGCAUGGUUGGAGAAAGUAGGGUCGAUGGUUUUAGCCAUGCGAAAUCGCAUUGCGGGAUCACAAGACAAGUAAAGAUUCUUCACCAAGACCCCAUGACAAACUUCUGGGACCUUCAACUUUAUAGUCCCAGUGUCUAUAUACAAGUCUGAUUCUUUGGGAAAACCAGUCACAUAGUCUCUCAGUAUCACCUGCUUGUUGCUCACAGCUUCUUCAGUGCUAUCACUAGCCAUUGCAAUUAUGGUAGUGUCUCCCUUACCCUUUUCUUUCUUCCACUUUACAGUCUCAGCAAGUCUCAGUUGAAGCUUUCUGGGUCGUGUUUGGUUUCAGUGUAUAGUUACUUUAAUGGGUGAAGCAGCUGGUUUGAAUUGACAAAUAGCUACGUCUAGGGUGCAUAUUCGGUUUGCCCUGAACUCGAGUUGAU
rnacentral:misc_RNA from 1 species